AACUCUACAAAACUAACAAAUACGUAAAAUAUCUACUUAAAACAUAAUCACUUAAACAAAAUUGCAUUUAUACAAAAUUGUGAGGAUAAAAGUGUGUAAGUCAAUCAGAAAAUGGUAAAAGGGACCACAAAAAUUAUAUGAAAAGUAAUACUAAUUGGUUCUUAACAGUUGUACAGGUGAUAAUGAAGGAGACGUCAGAAGGAGAUUCUA
rnacentral:lncRNA from 1 species